CUGAACUGUGUGAAUAAAAAUAUUGCAUGCAAUUCUGAACCCUGACUUGAAAAUAGGACACAUCUUCAAAGACAGUAAGGAAAAGAAAUAUAGAGUGAGAAGAGAGAAAGACUGGAAGAGGAUAGGUUCUUCUUAAGCCAUGACCCGGAAACAGGACAGCAUGCACUCCAACGUGGCUGGCUGGAACUCAAACUCAGCCACACCCAACUCCAAACAAAUCUGGGAAAGAGGUUCUAGCUGAGAAGAAAAGAAAGCAUGAAUUCUAAUUAACAGCUUGCAUUCUCUGCUACAGCUUAAGUUUCUCAGUGCUUAGAAGCACUGAUCAGGAAUUGGAUCCAUGGUGCUACCCAGAUCCCUCAGAAGGCAUAUCCCUGCCUGGUGGAUUUUCGAUUGGAAUAAAAUAAGAUGACAUGAAUGUACAGAGACGAUGGAUGGCUUGAGCUGAUGGGCAGCAUUUGGAAUUGGGUUUUGUUUUCUUCAAGAACUGUGGUGUCAUUUUUCUUCGUCUUUCCCUGUCUCUGCUGAUUCUGUCUAGGGGAUGUCUUUUAAUGUGAAAAAUUGAGUAAUAGCUUCAUAAGAAGUCCUGAGAAAACAACUCCUGGAUUCCAACUUAUCUUCAGUGCACAUAACCUUCUCCCACAGAGUGAAGGGCUUAUUUUUAUUCAAUUAAGCCUCAAUUAUGUUCCAAGAAAUCAGUCUCCAGACUAAAUGUGAGCAAGUAGCAGGUAAUAAACAAACAAGACACAUCA